rnacentral:rRNA from 1 species
UCGGCUUAGAGUUUGAUCAUGGCUCAGGACGAACGCUGGCGGCGUGCUUAACACAUGCAAGUCGAACGAUGCUGGAGCUUGCUCUGGAUUAGUGGCGAACGGGUGAGUAACACGUGAGUAACCUGCCCUCCACUCUGGGAUAAGCGCUGGAAACGGCGUCUAAUACCGGAUAUGAAUCUCACCGCAUGGUGGGGGUUGAAAGAAUUUCGGUGGGGGAUGGACUCGCGGCCUAUCAGCUUGUUGGUGAGGUAAUGGCUCACCAAGGCGACGACGGGUAGCCGGCCUGAGAGGGUGACCGGCCACACUGGGACUGAGACACGGCCCAGACUCCUACGGGAGGCAGCAGUGGGGAAUAUUGCACAAUGGGCGCAAGCCUGAUGCAGCAACGCCGCGUGAGGGAUGACGGCCUUCGGGUUGUAAACCUCUUUUAGUAGGGAAGAAGCGAAAUGACGGUACCUGCAGAAAAAGCACCGGCUAACUACGUGCCAGCAGCCGCGGUAAUACGUAGGGUGCAAGCGUUGUCCGGAAUUAUUGGGCGUAAAGAGCUCGUAGCGGUUUGUCGCGUCUGCUGUGAAAUCCCGAGGCUCAACCUCGGGCCUGCAGUGGGUACGGGCAGACUAGAGUGCGGUAGGGGAGAUUGGAAUUCCUGGUGUAGCGGUGGAAUGCGCAGAUAUCAGAGGAACACCGAUGGCGAAAGCAGAUCUCUGGGCCGUAACUGACGCUGAGAGCGAAAGGGUGGGGAGCAACAGCUUAGAUACCCUGGUAGUCCACC